rnacentral:lncRNA from 1 species
UUAAAGAAUAGUUUAAAUGACUUGAUAAUAACUUUGAAAUUGUGAAUUUGGAGUCUAGCAUGCUAUGCAUAGUACAAUUGGCCAGGUUUUGUUUACUUCUGGUUUUAUUGAUGUUAUGUGCGUGAGUGGUAUCAGUGUUGCUGGCAAGUGAGCUUUAUCCAUUUUGUGAUAGGUAUAAACCUGUUGCUUUUUUUAUUCGAUUAAGUAUUAGUUGGGAAUAAUCUGCACACUUGUGUUUAUAUUGCUUUGUUUAUUUAUUUGUUUAAGAUGACUUAUUUUUCCAUGUCAC